rnacentral:lncRNA from 1 species
CCUUCGAAGCCUCUUCUUGGUUUUGCUCUUCUUGAUACAGAUUGGUCAGGUGAGCUUUUUCUUUUACUGAACUAUCUCAUCUAUAAUGCUGUUUAUUCCAAUAUGUUUUUUUGGUCGAUCAUUCGUGGACUAACUCAGCUUUACUUACUUUGUUUAUGGGUGUUUUAUAUUUUGCCGUUGCAUUAAGGUAAGCCUAUUUUAAAUUUCCUGUCUUCUUUGAUUCUUUAUUCUACCUUUCAUUUAUCCAUUAUUUGUUCUUAUUUGUGUUCUGCCUUUUUCCCCUGUUUUCCCUUUACAUUUUGCAUGAGCUUUCUUCGUCUGUGGUUGCUGUAAGGAACUUUCUUUCUUUGUCACUAGACACUUGCAAAUUGGACUGUUCUGUGAGCCACCGAAUGUUUUGCUUCCACUCAAAAGAGUGACAAUAAUUGUGCUUUUUCUUCAAUGGUUGGGCCUAUUUUCCACCUUGCCUAACCUUUUAAACUAUACCUGCUUCUUUGACUUUGCCGUCGAUUUUCCUUCUUGUUCGUAUGGUGUUAGGAGCUGUUUUUCUUCUCAGAAGGUGAUGGGAUUUGGUGGAUGACGAGCUCAAGAAGGUAAGGGGCUAGUAAUCUUCUGUCUUGGUUACUCUUUCCAUUUUUCUCUUUUUUCUUCAUCUCCCUUUUCCCUCCUACCUCUCUCGAGUAAUAAUAGUUAGUUUCUUCUAUUUUUUUGCCUUUUUUUCCCUAAUCUUUUUUUUCCUUUGCUAAAAGCAACAAAUCAUUUUCUCCUCUCCUCUGCGUCUCUGUUUGUUAUGUUCUCAGAUAUUUUGCUAUUAAGAAAACUUCAUUUUUUUUGGGCUUUGUAAUCACUGAAUCUCCACUAUACUUAAUUUUCUGACAUGCUUCAUUUUUUCCCAUCUUUUAAGGAUUUAGCUUGCAUGUUUCAUCAAUAAAUAUUUUCAUCAUUUUAAUCUGGACUUGGAUAAUAGCUACAUUUUUUGUCCAUUUUUUCCUUUUGUUAGGUGGGAAAAGAUGAUGAAGAUUGGAGAUGAAUUGAUGAUG